GAUGAACGCUGGCGGCGUGCCUAAUACAUGCAAGUCGAGCGAACAGACGAGGAGCUUGCUCCUCUGACGUUAGCGGCGGACGGGUGAGUAACACGUGGAUAACCUACCUAUAAGACUGGGAUAACUUCGGGAAACCGGAGCUAAUACCGGAUAAUAUAUUGAACCGCAUGGUUCAAUAGUGAAAGACGGUUUUCCUGUCACUUAUAGAUGGAUCCGCGCCGCAUUAGCUAGUUGGUAAGGUAACGGCUUACCAAGGCAACGAUGCGUAGCCGACCUGAGAGGGUGAUCGGCCACACUGGAACUGAGACACGGUACAGACUCCUACGGGAGGCAGCAGUAGGGAAUCUUCCGCAAUGGGCGAAAGCUUGACGGAGCAACGCCGCGUGAGUGAUGAAGGUCUUCGGAUCGUAAAACUCUGUUAUUAGGGAAGAACAAAUGUGUAAGUAACUAUGCACGUCUUGACGGUACCUAAUCAGAAAGCCACGGCUAACUACGUG
rnacentral:rRNA from 1 species